CCUACGGGUGGCAGCAGUGGGGAAUAUUGGACAAUGGGCGGAAGCCUGAUCCAGCCAUGCCGCGUGUGUGAAGAAGGCCUUUUGGUUGUAAAGCAUUUUAAGCGAGGAGGAGGCUACUAGUACUAAUACUACUGGAUAGUGGACGUUACUCGCAGAAUAAGCACCGGCUAACUCUGUGCCAGCAGCCGCGGUAAUACAGAGGGUGCGAGCGUUAAUCGGAUUUACUGGGCGUAAAGCGUGCGUAGGCGGCUGAUUAAGUCGGAUGUGAAAUCCCUGAGCU
rnacentral:rRNA from 1 species